rnacentral:rRNA from 1 species
GAUGAACGCUAGCUACAGGCUUAACACAUGCAAGUCGAUGGACCUGCGCCCGGGUGAGUAACACGUAUCCCACCUGCCCUUUACUCGGGGAUAGCCUUUCGAAAGAGAGAUUAAUACCCGAUGUAAAGUAUGGGGAUGCGUUCCAUUAGGUUGUUGGUGAGGUAAAGGCUAACCAAGCCUUCGAUGGAUAGGGGUGCUGAGAGGAAGGUCCCUCACAGUGUAACUGAGACACGGUCCAAACUCGUACGGGAGGCAGAAGUGAGGAAUAUUGGUGAAUGGGCGUUAGCCUGAACCAGCCAAGUAGCGUGAAGGAUGAAGGCUGAUGGGUCGUAAACUUCUGUUAGAUAAGAAGAUGUAUUAGAUGAAUAAGGAUCGGCUAACUCCGUGCCAGCAGCCGCGGUAAUAC